UACGAGGGGGGCAAGCGUUGUUCGGAAUUAUUGGGCGUAAAGGGCGCGUAGGCGGUGCGGUAAGUCUGUAGUGAAAUCUCUGGGCUCAACUCAGAGUCUGCUGCAGAAACUGCCGUGCUUGAGUGUGGGAGAGGUGAGUGGAAUUCCCGGUGUAGCGGUGAAAUGCGCAGAUAUCAGGAAGAACACCCGUGGCGAAGGCGGCUCUCUGGUACGUGACUGACGCUGAGACGCGAAAGCGUGGGGAGCAAACAGG
rnacentral:rRNA from 1 species